UCUAGCUCCAGUCGGGUAAGAGCGCCAAGACUCUAAUCUUGGUGGUCGUGGGUUCGAGCCCCACGGUGGGGCG